AAUAGAUACCCUGGUAGUCCACGCCGUAAACGGUGGGCACUAGGUGUGGGCGACAUUCCACGUCGUCCGUGCCGCAGCUAACGCAUUAAGUGCCCCGCCUGGGGAGUACGGCCGCAAGGCUAAAACUCAAAGGAAUUGACGGGGGCCCGCACAAGCGGCGGAGCAUGUGGCUUAAUUCGACGCAACGCGAAGAACCUUACCAAGGCUUGACAUACACCGGAAACGUCCAGAGAUGGGCGCCCCCUUGUGGUCGGUGUACAGGUGGUGCAUGGCUGUCGUCAGCUCGUGUCGUGAGACGUUGGGUUAAGUCCCGCAACGAGCGCAACCCUUGUCCCGUGUUGCCAGCAGGCCCUUGUGGUGCUGGGGACUCACGGGAGACCGCCGGGGUCAACUCGGAGGAAGGUGGGGACGACGUCAAGUCAUCAUGCCCCUUAUGUCUUGGGCUGCACACGUGCUGCAAUGGCCGGUACAAUGAGCUGCGAUACCGCGAGGUGGAGCGAAUCUCAAAAAGCCGGUCUCAGUUCGGAUUGGGGUCUG
rnacentral:rRNA from 1 species